UACGAAGGGGGCUAGCGUUGUUCGGAUUUACUGGGCGUAAAGCGCACGUAGGCGGAUCUUUAAGUCAGAGGUGGAAAUCCCAAGGCUCAACCUUGGAACUGCCUUUGAUACUGGGGAUCUUGGAGUCCGGGAGAGGUGAGUGGAACUGCGAGUGUAGAGGUGAAAUUCGUAGAUAUUCGCAAGAACACCAGUGGCGAAGGCGGCUCACUGGCCCGGUACUCGACGCUGAGGUGCGAAAGCGUGG
rnacentral:rRNA from 1 species